UGAGGAAUAUUGGUCAAUGGGCGGGAGCCUGAACCAGCCAAGCCGCGUGAGGGAAGAAGGCCCUAUGGGUCGUAAACCUCUUUUGUCAGGGAACAAAAGCGAGUAUGUAUACUAGUCUGAGUGUACCUGAAGAAAAAGCAUCGGCUAACUCCGUGCCAGCAGCCGCGGUAAUACGGAGGAUGCGAGCGUUAUCCGGAUUUAUUGGGUUUAAAGGGUGCGUAGGCGGCGAUGCAAGUCAGCGGUAAAAGCCCGGGGCUCAACCCCGGCGAGCCGUUGCAAACUGACAGUGCUAGAGAAGGCGAGAGGUACGCGGAAUGCGCAGUGUAGCGGUGAAAGAUGCUUAGAUAUUGCGCAGAACUCCGAUUGCGAAGGCAGCGUACUGGCGCCUGACUGACGCUGAGGCACGAAAGCGUGGGGGAUCGAACAGGAUUAGAUACC
rnacentral:rRNA from 1 species